rnacentral:tRNA from 1 species
GUGGUUGGCUCAGUGGUUAAGAGCACUGACUGCUCUCUUCCAGAGGUCCUGAGUUCAAUUCCCAGCAACCACA